rnacentral:lncRNA from 1 species
CUCUUGAUUUCAAGAAAUGGGCAAAAAAGGACAAUCAAGAAGAAGCAAGCUCAACGGGCACCGAGAGCAGGGGGAGCAUGGCCUUUGGUAGGCCACCUACAUCUAUUAGUGUUUAAGGNNNNNNNNNNNNNNNNNNNNNNNNNNNNNNNNNNNNNNNNNNNNNNNNNNNNNNNNNNNNNNNNNNNNNNNNNNNNNNNNNNNNNNNNNNNNNNNNNNNNGGAUGUUAAGGAAUAACAGAAUGCAUGCCAGCUGUCAUUUUAUGAUUGGUCAAUGUGUUUGAAGACUGUUAUUUUUUUUUUUGAAAAGAAACUGAAUGAUAUGAUGUUUGGAUUGUGAGAAAAUAAGCAAGAAAAAUGAAAAGAAACACACAAUUUGUUAUUAUUUAUUAACUGAAUGAAACAAAUUGAUGCAGCUCUUUAUAUACACGAGAGACUACACCAAAACUGCUAUAACAAACUGAAAUGCAAAAUAACAGUCUUCAAACACAUUGACCAAUCAUAAAAUGACAGCUGGCAUGCAUUCUGUUAUUCCUUAACAUCCCUCCACAAGCUCAACUUGGGGAACUAAGAUUGAGCUUGGAACAUAAGUAAUGAAAAGGUUUAUGAGCCAAGGCUUUAGUAAGAAUGUCUGCUGUAUUAUCUGAACUGGGAAUGUAGCUGACUUGAAGACUCUGAUUUGCAACUUUUUCUCUCAAAAAAUGAACAUCCAGCUCAAUGUGUUUAGUUCGAGCAUGAAACUUAGGAUUGCUAGUUAAUGCAGCUGCACUCUGAUUAUCACACCAGAUUACUGGAUUUGAGAUGAGUGAAACACUAAGCUCAGUUAACAGAGAUUUGAUCCACAAAACCUCAGAGGCUGCUAGAGCUAGAGCUCUAUAUUCAGACUCUGUACUUGACCUGGAUACCACAGCUUGUUUCUUGGAACACCAGGAAACCAGGUUUGAACCUAAGAAAACACAGUAGCCAGCAAUGGACCUCCUAUCAUCCUUGUCACUUGCCCAGUCAGCAUCACUGAAGCAAUCAAGACUUUGAACUCCAUGACUAUAGAACUGUAAACCAAGAUGUAAAGUACCUUUAAGAUACCUGAGAAUUCGUUUACAAGCUUGCCAAUGAUUCACUGUUGGAGCAGCUAGGAACUGACUCAACUUAUUAACAGAGAAAGCUAUUUCAGGUCUGGUUAAUGUGGCAUAUUGCAAUGCACCAAUAGUGCUUCGAUACAGAGUAGCAUUAGCAAACAACUCACUAUCAGAUUUAGUAAGAGAUGUACCAGCAGCCAUAGGAGUAGAGCAGGGGGUACAAUCCUGCAAGUUGACUUUAUGAAGAAGAUCAACUAUAUAUUUGGAUUGAGAGAGAUGCAGACCUGAGCUGUUUUUGACAACUUGUAUACCCAGAAAAUAAUUCAACUCCCCAAGAUCCUUAAGGGCAAAAGUUGAUUGAAGAUUAGAGAUGACCUGCUGAAUCAAACAUGUGCUAGACCCUGUUACAAUUAUAUCAUCCACAUAUACUAGGACAAGCAGAAGAUGACCCUGAACCCUUUUGAAGAAUAAAGAAGUAUCAGAUUUAGAGUUUCGAAAACCCCACUGAGCUGUUAACACCUGCUUCAGCUUGUCAAACCAGGCUCUUGGAGCCUGCUUAAGACCAUAAAGAGCCUUCUGUAACUUGCAAAUGUGAUGGGGUCUGGACUGAUCAACAAAACCAGCAGGCUGUUCCAUGUAAACCUCUUCAGUAAGAUGACCAUUAAGAAAGGCAUUGUUGAUGUCAACCUGUCUUAAAGUCCAGUGAUUCAAAACUGCCAAACUCAAGAUGACUUUAACAGUUGAAGCUUUGACUACAGGACUAAAGAUUUCAUUGAAAUCAAUGCCUUGAGUUUGAUGAAAACUCUUAGCAACCAGACGAGCUUUGUAUCUGGAAAUGCUGCCAUCAGGGUUGUAUUUGAUCCUAUAAACCCACUUACUGCCAAUGACCUUGACUGGAAAUGAAGGUUGAACCAAUGUCCAGGUUUUGUUAUCCAUCAAUGCUUGAUAUUCCAAUUUCAUGGCUUGAAGCCAUUUGAGAUCAGCCAAUGCUUCUGAUAUUGAAUAUGGUUCAUGUGGUGAUGAUGAGGAUGUUGUAAGAAAUGUUGUUUUAGGUUUAAAAAUGCCUGCUUUGGAUCUGGUGACCAUUGGAUGUCCUUGAAUAAGUGGAGAAGGUAGAGAUAAAUGAUGAUUUGGAGUUGAGGGAGUUGUCUGAGAUUGAGUGUUUAGUUCAGGUGAGGAUAAAGAAGAUGAAGGUGAGAGUAGAUCAGCUGCUGGAGAAGAUUGUAAAGCAGAACCAUCAAGUUGAAAUGUAGACUGUGAUAGUGUGAAAGUAACUUGUGGUUUUACAGAAUGUGAAGACAAGGAUGAGCUGGAAUGAUCAGCGGAAGAAAAAUCAACACCAGACUCAAAAGGAAAAGUUGUUUCAUAAAAAACAACAUGAUUGCUUAUGUAAAUUCUUCCUGAGGAAUGAAGACAAACAUACCCUUUAUGAUGGGAGCUAUAACCAAGGAAUAUGCAUCUCUGACUUCUAAAAGCAAAUUUGUGAUGAUUAUAAGGUCUUAGAUACGGAUAGCAAGAACAUCCAAAGACCUUCAUGACUGUAUAAUUUGGUAUUUUGUGAAAGAGCAUUUCAAAAGGAGAUUUGUUAUUUAAAACAGGUGUGGGAAGUCUAUUAAUGAGAUAAACAACAGUAUGGAAAGCAUUCCACCAAAAUUUCAAAGGAAGGUGAGCUUGAGCUAAAAGGGUUAAUCCAGUUUCUACAAUAUGCCUAUGUUUUCUUUCCACCUUGCCAUUUUGAUGAUGGAUAUAUGGACAAGGAUGGCGAAAUUGAAUACCCUGAGAAGCAAGAUAGGGAACAAAGGAUCUGAACUCACCCCCCCAAUCUGUUUGAAGGCACUUAAUUUUCUUUUCAAGACUGUUUUCAAUCAUAUUUUUGAAGUUUGUGAAUACUGAUAAGGUGUUUGAUUUGGCUGUGAGAGGAAAUAUCCAUGUAAACCUAGUGUAGUCAUCUAUGAUUGAUAGGUAGUAAUGGUAGCCUUGAGAAGAUGAAAUAGGGGCUGGUCCCCAGAGAUCAGCAUGAAGAAGUUCUAGUGGUUGUGUUGUUGAAGUUUCUAUGGAAGGAAAAUGUUGCAUAUGACAUUUCCCGAACUGACAUGCAUCACAGAAUUGAGGUUUGAUUGUUUUAUCAAUUGGAAAGUUUGAAUUCAGUCUUUUCAUAAUUUGAUGCAAAGCAUGGACAGUAGGAUGUCCCAUUCUUUUGUGCAGAAUAUUGCAAUCAACACUCUUUGAGUUAGAAACAGCAGAAGUCAUAAAUGCAGUUUUAUUGAAUUGAAAGUCAUUUACAGGUACUUGAAGUUGAGACAAAGUGUUUGAAGAAUCAAACUGAGCAAACAUUGACACUGCAUUUAUUUUUGAAACUGAGACAGACUUAGACAAACUGGACACAGGAACUGGAAACUUUGAACUAUCACAGACUGCAGAAAGAUUUUCAACUUGAUAAAGUCCUCCUGUAAAACCUCCAAAAUUUCCACUAGAAUUGUUGUUUUUCUGAGUUCCAAAAUUAUUCUUGUUAUGAUUCUGACCUUUCUGAGCAAAAUUAGCAGUCAUAUCAUGCAUUAAUUCAUUCUGUAGUUUUCCUUUACUCAUCUCCAACCUAGUUUCAUGGCUAAGCAACAUUGAAUAUACUUCUUCAACAGUAAGUUCUUCUUUCUCAAGUCUAGUGAGGAUAUUAGUUACAAGAGAUUCAUAACUAUCAUCUAGUCCAGUGAGUAAGUGCAUAAUCAACUCAUUUGAUGAAAGUGCAUUACCUCCAAUAGCUAGACUAUCAGCUAUCUUCUUCAUUUUAUUGAAAUAGUCACUUACAGAGAGUGAUCCUUUCUUAGUUGAUUGGAUCUGCAACUUCAGUGGCAGAAAUCUGGCCUUCGACUAAGACAUGAAGAUCUGACCAAGCCUCUCCCACAGCUCUAGUGAAGAUUCACAAUUAAUCACCAUGAUAAGUACAUUGUCUACCAUUGACGAGAGCAUCCAGCUUUGAAGAAGCUUGUCAGUUUUCAUCCAGAUAAUAUAUUCUGGAUUUUCUUGCCUCUGUGAGAUUAGCAUUGCUGAGCUGCUUGAUUCUCCCUCUGUUAAGUUGAGAUAUCGAUCUGGACAAACACUAUCACCAGUAACAAAGCCUUCAAGUCCAUUAGCAAUUAUUGACGCACGCACUUGAGCUUUCCAUACUAGAUAGUUUGAUCUAUCGAGCUUAACUGGUUGAAUGAAGUUGAAAGUGACAGACGCAGAAGCUUGAUUUGAAUUAAUCAUGUUUGUUUGCUCUGAUACCAUAUUAGAAUGAUAUGAUGUUUGGAUCGUGAGAAAAUAAGCAAGAAAAAUGAAAAGAAACACACAAUUUGUUAUUAUUUAUUAAUUGAAUGAAACAAGUUGAUGCAGCUCUUUAUAUACACGAGAGACUACACCAAAACUGCUAUAACAAACUGAAAUGCAAAAUAACAGUCUUCAAACACAUUGACCAAUCAUAAAAUGACAGCUGGCAUGCAUUCUGUUAUUCCUUAACAAUUAGGAGGGCCAGAGCCAGCUCACAGAGUUUUGGGCGACAUGGCUGACAAAUAUGGACCAAUAUUCACUAUGAAGUUGGGAGUGAAACAGGCUUUAAUGGUGAGCAAUUGGGAAAUUGCUAAGGAGUGUUUUACCACAAAUGACAAAGCCUUUGCAAGUCGCCCCAAAACAAUGGCCAUGGAGCUUUUGGAGUACAACUUUUCGGUCAUAAGCUUCGCACCAUAUGGGAACUACUGGCGUCAGUCGCUUAAGAUAGCCACAAUUGAGCUUCUAUCAAGUCAUCGCCUUGAGAAGCUCAAACACGUACGUGAAUACGAAGUGAAGGCUUCAAUCCAGAGGUUAUACAAGAAUUGCGUAAGUAGCAGCAGUUCACGUAAAGUAGUUUUGGUGGAUAUGAUCCAUUGGCUCGAGGGCACAGUGCUUGACGUUGUUUUGAGAAUAAUUGCAGGAAAACGUCACACUUCACAAUCACAAGAGAUUAAUGAUUGGCAACGACAAAUAACAAAGUUCACUGCCUUGACUGGUCAGUUCGUGGUGUCUGAUGCGUUGCCUUUUUUGAGAUGGCUAGAUAUCGGCGGGUAUGAGAGAUUAAUGAGCAAGACAGCUAAAUAUUUUGACAUUAUUUUGCAAGAAUGGUUGGAUGAGCACAAGAUGAAAAGAGUUUCUGGUGAAGUUAAGGGCGACGAGGAUUUCAUAUAUGUGUUGUUGUCGCUACUUGAUGAUAAUGCAGAGCAGCUUCCUGAUCGCGAUGCUGACACUGUCAUUAAAGCAAUAUGCGUGGUAUAUUAUAUGCUCAUGAAAAACUUAUGUGUGCGUGUGUGUGUUGUAUUGUUAUACCAAUGUCACAGAUUUCUUACUGCGUUUUAAUUUGCAGACUCUAAUCGUAGCAGCUGCAGACACCACAGUAGUUACAUUGACAUGGGCCAUUGCUUUACUUCUCAACAAUCGCGAUGUUUUGAAGAAGGCACAAGAUGAAUUAGACAUUCAGGUUGGUACUAAAAGGCAAGUGAAUGGGUCAGACAUGAGAAAUUUGGUUUACUUGCAGGCCAUGAUCAAGGAAACAAUGCGUUUAUACCCUGCUUUACCACUUCUACUGCCUCACGAGUCUAUAGAAGAGUGCACCGUCAAUGGUUACCAUGUCCCUGCUGGCACCCAGCUGUUUGUUAAUGCUUGGAAGAUUCAACGCGAUCCAUGUGUUUGGGAGGAGCCAUGUCAAUUUCAGCCAGAAAGAUUUCUUACAACGCAUAAGGAUAUUGAUGUUAGGGGACAAAAUUUUGAAUUGAUACCAUUUGGUAGCGGAAGAAGAAUGUGUCCUGCAGUGUCAUAUGGCCUUCAAGUUAUGCAACUAAUGCUUGCUUCAUUAGUGCAUGGGUUUGAUUUUACAACCCCAUCAGGUGAACCGGUUGACAUGGCUGAGACAAUGGGCCUAACCUCUGCUAAAGCUACUCCACUUGAAGUGCUUCUUAGUCCGCGCCUUUUUGCCUCUUCAUAUGGUUAAAUUAGCCUCUGUACUUGUUAAUGCAAAUGAUUAAGUCGUAUUUUUCAACAAUUUAUUGAUUAGAUGCGUUUAUGUCUUUGAGGGUCACUCACCGUGCGUUUAGCACAUUGCAAUAUACUAAUGGUGAGUUUGCCAUGUUAUAUUAUAUUGUAUUAUCUAACAUUUGGUACGUGGGACUGGACUUUAUUAUAUUAAAAUUAUAUUAUAUUAAUUAUUUAUAACAUUUGGUACUACAUUAUAUUGUAUUAUUAUUUUUUUGUUAUAUGUUUGUUGCUACAUUGCAUUGCAUUUUUUUUAAUUCUUUUGAAGAUUGCAUUGCAUAUUAAAAAAAGUACUAAAAAUAGAUGUUCUAAAUUUUAUAAUUUUUUAAAUUAAUUAUUUUUAGUAUAAAUAUAAAAAAAAUCACAAUUCUUUUAAACAUAUGUAAAAUUAAGAAAUUCUAAAAAUUUUGGAUAUAUAUAUAUAUAUUUGUGUAUGUAUGUAUGUGUAUAUGUAUGUAUGUAUGUAUGUAUACAUAUAUGUAUUUGUAUAUAUAUAUAUAUAUAUAUUUGUGUAUGUAUGUACAUAUAUGUAUAUGUACAUAUGUAUGUAUGAAGAUCCAGGAAAAUAAUUCAAUCAAAUAACCUUUAAAAAUUAUCAUAACAUAAAUAAAUACAUAACAUUCAUCUCAUAAUAAAGAUGACAACAAAAAAAAUUACAAAUUAUACAACAUACUAGAACCCUAAUCACUUAAUAAUAUGGAUUGAACAAUGCACCAAACUCAGUCCAAUUUAUAGCUAGAGGAUGUUCUAAUUAUGUUCCACUGGCGGUGUAAGGGCCCCAAUGGACGGGCCCUCUUCAUGAUGCUACACACAUCACAAAAAUGUUAAAUUUAGCUGAGAAGUGGGGAUGGGUUGGUAAUGGCUCAUGAACUGAUCUGGAAAAAAAUUUAUCGCGGAUGACAGAGGAAAGUGACCCCACCUUGCCAUUUGGAUACAUCAAAUUGGAGGAGGUCCUUGACUUACGUUAAUUUCUUCAUUUUGUUAAAUAACAACCCUAUUCUUCUAUCGUUUUUUCUGCAUUGUUGUGUUGAAAUUCCAUUGAGUUGAUGAUUUUUCUAACUUCAUUAGAUGGCAAGCCGUGCAAAGAUGAAUUCUCCUUCCCUAAAGACCAUGAUGAGCGCCAUGCAAAAGGUAUCCUUGCAGUAGACAAUUUGAAGUGUUUAUUGUAAAAUAUGAGAGAAAAGCAGAAUGGACAGAAGCAUGUUUUCAUUGAUAUUUGAUUGAGUAUAUAUACAUAUAUGACUGACUUGCUAUACAUGGUAGGAUCCCUAUAAUUAAGCUAUGCAAUCAAAGUCUACUGUAAUUUAGGAAUACAUAUAGAAAGAUAUAUUUACAUCUCAAUAUAAUGAAUAAAAUGGAUUCUACUUUCCAAUACUCCCCCUCAAGUUGGAGAGUGAAUGUCCAGCACUCCCAACUUGCGAACCAUAGGCAUGAAAACUUCUUUUCCCAAAGCUUUGGUCAACACAUCAGCAAGCUGAUUUGCGGAACUUACAAAUCUCGUUAUCACACAACCUUCUUGUAUCUUGUCUCUUAUAUAAUGACAAUCCAUCUCUAUAUGCCUUGUACGUUCAUGAAAAACUGGAUUAGCUGCUAUAUGUAAUGCAGCCUUAUUGUCACAAUAUAGCAAUGCAGCCUCUUGAUGUAAAAUCCCCAAAUCUCUAAGUAAGUAACGAAGCCAUGUCAAUUCACAACAAGCUCCAGUCAUUGCACGAUACUCUGCUUCGGCUGAGAAAAGGGAGACGGUUUUCUGGCGCCUCAAUCUCCAUGAAAUCAACGAAGGGCCCAAGAACACACAAUACCCCGUAGUAGAUCUUCUUGUAAGGGGGCAUCCUGCCUAAUCCGAGUCACAGUAUGCUCGCGACCGAAGAUCACUAAUUGAUGAGAAAAAGAGGCCUUGGCCAGGAGCAGAUUUUAAAUAGCGCACAACCCGUAAGGCUGCCUCCCAAUGAUCCUUCCGAGGUUGGUGCAUAAAUCUGCUUAAUAUAUGGACAGCGUACGUGAUAUCGGGCCUCGAAACUGUGAGAGAUAUUAAUCUUCCAACUAAUCGCCUAUAUCGCCAUGGGUUUUUGAGUGGCUCACUUUUAUCAGAUAACUUUAAGCCACGUUCCAUGGGAGUAUCAAUGGGAGCUGCCCCUAAUAACCCUGCAUCCUUAAUAAUUUCCAAUGCAUAUUUUCUCUGAGAAAUAAAAAUGCCCUUCCUAGAUGCAGAAAUCUCAAUACCAAGGAAAUACUUCAAGUCUCCUAGAUAUUUAAGGUGAAAUUGAUUAUGCAAGAAUUUUUUGAUAUCAGCUAUACUCACAGGAUCAUUGCCAGUGAUUAAAAUGUCGUCAACAUAUAUCAAAAGAGCAGUAAAGGACUUGCCUUGCUUCCUGGUGAACAGAGAGUAGUUAGCUUUUGAUUGUACAAAUCCAGCUGAACGUAUAGCCUCGGAGAAUUUAGCAAACCAUUGACGAGAGGCCUGUUUCAACCCAUAUAAUGACUUGUGGAGGCGACAAACCAAGUGUUCCUCCCCCUGUCGCCGAAGACCUGGCGGCAGAGACAUGUAGAUUUCUUCUUGGAGGUCACCAUGAAGAAAGGCAUUAUUGAUGUCGAGUUGAUGAAGAGACCAACCACGGGCAGCAGCUAAUGCCAACAAGCAACGAACAGAAAUUAUUUUUGCUGUCGGAGAAAAAGUAUCCUGGUAGUCAACUCCCUCCAAUUGAGUGAAACCCUUGGCUACAAGUCGCGCCUUAUACCGUUCAACAGAUCCAUCAGACUUAUGUUUAAUCUUGUAAACCCAACGACAACCAAUUGGAGUUUUACCAGCCGGAAGAGAGGUAAGAGACCAAGUACCAUUUUCUUGCAGUGCCUGUAAUUCGGAACGCAUUGCUGCUUGCCACUCAGGGAGAACGACAGCUUCUGAAUAAGACCUGGGUUCUGUGAGAUGACUGAGUUGAGCAAUAAAGGACUGAUAAGCAGGCUUAUAUCGGUGAUGUGAAAUAUAAUUAGCCAGUGGAUAUCGUGUACCUUUGGUCGGACCUGGAAUUAAGGAGGCCGAUUGGUCGGAGUAAACAUGUGAGCAGACGUAGUCGUGGAGCUUGACCGGUGGACCGGUGUUGCAGCUGGAGCGACGAAGUUCAGGUCCGGGUUCGGGUUCGGGUUCGGAUUCGGGUUCUUGUGAUGCAGCGGGUUCAGGGAAUGGAGAAGGCGAGGACUGUGGGGCUGGAGAAGAUGGAUCAGAGAAGUGUAAUGGGGAUGGAUCAGUUGAGACUAGUGGGGCAACAAGUUUAGGUCGGCGGGAAUAAGUACGAAGCACAGCUUGGGGAGGGGAAGAUGGUGGUUCUACCGCGGGAAGAGAAGAGGAAAUUUGAUCGAGAGAAUUAGGAGAGAGUUGGGAUGAGGGAAUGGGGCUUGGUGGAAUGACAUGAGAGUUGACUGAUGAGUCAAUGGAAGAAAGAAUUAAAGGAAUUGGGCUUGAUUGAUGGGCUGUCAAGGGAAGAGAAAAUUUGGGUUGGACGGAUGAGUAAGGAAAAAUGGUUUCGUGGAAUUUAACAUCCCGACUUGUAAAAAUCUUUUUAGUUGAUAAAUUAAAUAAUUUGUAGCCCUUUUGAGCAAUGGGAUAACCGAUGAAUAUGGAUGGUAUGGCACGAGAGUCGAAUUUGUGAGAAGUGUGAACAUUAGUGGCAUAGGCCAAACACCCAAAAACACGAAGAUGGAAAAAAGAAGGUGGUUUUGAAUAGAGAAGUUCGUAAGGAGUUUUGAGAGAAAUAACCGGAGAAGGUAACCUAUUGAUGAUGUGCACAGCAGUGAGUGCACAUUCACCCCAAAAUUGGGUUGGUAGGUGUGCUUGGAAUUUUAAUGCUCGGGCUACUUGUAGGAUAUGGCGAUGUUUGCGUUCCACAACCCCCUUUUGUUGAGGUGUGUAAACGCAUUAAGUUUGGAAAACAAUACCAUGAUCUUGAAAGAAAGAUCGAAGUGAGAUAAAUUCUCCACCAUUGUCACUGCGAAAUGUUUUAAUGCGACAGUCAAAUUGAGUGGAAACAUGGCUGAAAAAGCGUUUUAAAAGAGAUUGUGUUUCAUUUUUGUGUCGCAUCAAAAAAAUCCAUGUGAAACGAGUAUAAUCAUCAACAAUAAUGAGGAAAUAAUAAGCUCCAGUAAGGGAAGGGUGUUGAUAACGACCCCAAAUAUCACAAUGAAUUAUUUCAAAAGGUUUUGUAGAAGAAAUAACACUGUUAUUGAAAGGAAAACGACUUUGUUUAGCCAACGGACAUAUGGGGCAAACAUUAUUAGACUUAACAGAAAAAUUCAAAAAGUUCUUGGCAAUAAAACUUAAACGAGAAGGUGGUACAUGGCCUAAGCGAUUAUGCCAGAGGUCGGUGGAUGAGAUGGUGAGAUUGCAGGUUGGUCGAUUUUUUGGUGAGGAAGGUUUUGACAUAGGUUGCUUCGUCGCUAAUGCCACAAAAAAAUAUAGCCCAUCUCGUUGUUUACCCAAACCAAUCGUCCUCCUCGUAGCCAGAUCCUGCAAAAUACACAAAGAAGGGAAAAACGUCACUGAACAACCCAAACCUCUUGUCAAACGACUAACUGACAUCAAAUCAACUUUAAAUGUAGGCACAGACAACACAUUAUGUAGAUAAUAGACGGAAUUGAGAGGUAAAGACCUUUUUGCAACAAUAUUUGCUCUUUCUCCACUAGGCAACAAUACAGGCGGUAACGAGCAAUUGUUAUCUUUAUGCAAUAAUUUAGAUGAUGAAGUAAUAUGAUCUGUCGCCCCGCUAUCAAUAAUCCAAUUUCGGGAAACAAUCUUAGACAAACCUGGCUUUGUUACCGUAUUAGCUUUGGAGUGAGAACCUUCAUUUUGAUUAUUCAGGAGUGACAAAAGUUGCUUGAGUUGAGCAUCGGAUAUUGUAAGUGAGCCUUCAUUUGUGUUUGACCCCUCUCCAACUUGAUUAGCCACAGAAAUACCUUUAUGCCGAUUUGAAUUUUGGCCUGAGUUUAUUUUAGCUUUAGGAUGGCCUGGUGGGUAUCCAUGCAGCUUAUAACAUUUCUGGAUCCAAUGGCCGAAAUUCCCACAGUGGUCACACAAAGGCCUACCUCUCCCAGAGCCAAAUUGACGCCGAUCUCCUUCUUGAGGUCCUACAAGUUCUGGCGCCUGAGAGUAUGUUCGAUCGCGAGAAUAUGGAAAACCAUGAGAGUGAGUUUGUUCGGUUUUUUUGGUUGCCGAAGGAGUCGGUUUGCUACGUACAGCCGUGGCAGCAACGCUGCUGUUUGAAUUGGUGUUCGUAUGCGCUGAACUAAGGAGGCGCUGUUUCUCUUCUUGGGAGAUUGAAGAGUAGGCUUGGUGAAUAGAAGGCAAAGGAUUCAUGAGCAGGAUUUGACCUCGAAUUGCACUAUAAGUUUCGUUUAGACCCAUUAAAAACUGCAUCAAUUUCUGUGGAUCGGCUUGUGCUAUGUCUGAAUGUGUUGCCAAUUCAUCCCAUAAACUUUUCAACUUAGUAUAGUAAGCUGAGACAGAGAGUUGCUCUUGUCGAAGAGAAGCAAUAUCUCGUUGUAUCUCGAAGAUGCGAGUUGCAUUGCCUUGAGAGAAACGCUCAUAGAGAUCUUCCUAAACCUCAUGAGCAGUAGGUUAAUAAGUCACACUGUCAGUUAUUUCUGGAUCGCAGGAAUUGACGAUCCAGGAAUGAACCAGAUCAUUGCAUCUUGACCAAAUCGCAUAGCCUUCAGGAUCAGUUUCUUCUUAAGGAACUUUGAUAGAACCAUUGACAAAUCCGAGCUUGUUUUUGGAGUUCAAAGCUCGAACCAUAGCCCUUUUCCAACCAAAAUAAUUAUCUCCAUUUAGAGAUUUGGAGACGAGAAUCAAUCCGGGGUUAUCCGAAUGGUGAGCAAAGAAGGGAUUGGAGAGAUCUGCCUUGGAGAAAUCUGCAGAAAUCUCUAAUUUUUGUGGAUCAGAACUGCUGGUUUUUGGAAUAUCUUCAAGGGCCAUGAUGGCUGAAAGAGAGAUGCUACACGAGAUAUUAAAGUGCAGCGAGUUCUAGCUCUGAUACCAUGUAAAAUACGAGAGAAAAGCAGAAUGGACAGAAGCAUGUUUUCAUUGAUAUUUGAUUGAGUAUAUAUACAUAUAUGACUGACUUGCUAUAAAUGGUAGGAUCCCUAUAAUUAAGCUAUGCAAUCAAAGUCUACUGUAAUUUAGGAAUACAUAUAGAAAGAUAUAUUUACAGCUCAAUAUAAUGAAUAAAAUGGAUUCUACUUUCCAAUAUUUAUUACAUUCCAAGUCUCUUGAGUAAUACGAAGGAUUACAUCUUGGGAUAGCUGUAAGAGAGGGUAGCUAUUCUUCUGUCAACUGGGUGUAAAGAAAGAAUGCUCACAGCUCCAUUCAGCCUUUCCUCGUAUGACCAUGUCUAGUAUGACUAUUGCAGGAGGGAGACGUAGCAAGUAGGUCACACAUUGCUUCCAAUGCAAUCAAGAAAAGUUGUCCCAUGGUAGUAUGCAUCAGGAUCGCCAAGGAACCUCAGUGCUGCAAGAAAACAAAGCUAAGUGAUGUUGGUAUUGAGAAGAUUGGCUGCAGAAGCCUUGUCUAACUUUUCCGUAAGCAAUCAGAAUUUAGCGAUGCAACGGCGUCUCCGUAGACGGAAUGGUUGAUUGCGCAUCUGCACCCAAGGGAUUUACUUCUCGCCAACUGCAAGAUUUUGGACGGAAUGAAGGCCACAAUGAAUUAUGAAAAGGGUAGAUCAAAAUGAUUUUAAUUAUUGAUUCGUAAGAAACAGAUUCCCGAGUUUCAAUUAAAAAUUAUAAAUUAUUUUCAAUUUAGUUUCAGGCGAGGUAUUGCUUGGCUCAAUUAUCACGGAUUAACUAAUGUAACAUAAUUAUACUUUAAUUAAUUUUGUUUAAGUAAAUCAAUACAUUAUAGCUCAAAAUAUAGAUUUAGCAUUCUUUUCUAGCAUUUUUUUUCCUCGUAGUCUCUCUUAGUGCUCGAAUUCUAGUGAAAAAAAAAAUUGAUUUAAUUGUAAACAAAGUGAAACAAGUCUGCUUAAUUUAUUUACAUUAAAAUUCAAAAAAAAAAUUCAAGAGUCAAUCCGAGAAAACAUGUUAAUUCCAACGGCCUCUUAAAGGUAGAGAUUUCUAAUUUCACUUUAACCUUGGUGUGACAGUAAGCUUUACUUAUUGACCUUAAAAGAGUAAACAACAAAAGCCCAUCAAAUUUAAUGGAACAAAUGUAAUAACCUUCUCAAUGUACUAAAAUGAAUUCCUACUACUACAAAAUUUUAUGAUUCUCAUCGAAAUUAAAAAUCCCAAAAAUUCAACAAUAAUUCUUAAAACUUUAAAAGAGAACGAAUGGGAAACAUUGAUACUUCCUACACAAAAUUCAAGUUCUUCAAGGUAUCUAUAAGCAUACAAGCAGACUAAAAAUCGGGUAGACUCUUUCGUGGACUCUUCAUGGACGAACUGGAACUCUAACCACAAGGGCUGGGCGUGGCGCUUGACCAGGCUGACCAGGCUUUGGCAAAUCAUCCUGGAACAUAUACACACACACACAUAUAUAUAAAGGAAGAAAAUUUUCAAGUAUGUGGGCACAAACAAAGGCCAUGUAAAACUGACAAGCUUAACCAUUUUUCAAAUGCUAUAGAAUCACACAGCAAUUAUCCCAAGACCAAAAACAUCCUCUAAAACAAAGGGAGAAGCUACCAGACAGAUACAAACACUGUCUCUUUUUAUCCUUUUUUUUUUCUCCCUCUUGGGCUAACCCAGAGGGAUGUUUCUGCAACAGGCUGAGUCAGGAAGUUACUACUAGCAAGGAAAUCCUUGUGAUAAAACGGACUAGGUAAGUGGUCUAUCUGCCUACAUCUUUAACCCAUAAAUCACUCUAAAAAUCAAUAUGAUCAGAGAGCAUUAGCCAAAAUCCAGAUGUAAAAAUCUCAAUAGAAACAUGAAAAAGAUACCCUGCAUCUCAUAAAACGCUUUGGUGGUUCACGGUUCCUGCGGUCAGUGCGUGAGCGAACCCUCACCACAUGCGAGUGAAUUGCACAGGAGAUACAGUACUGCAUCUUUGCAUACAACUUAGGCAGAACAUAGUCUGCAUCAAAUACAAAAGAUUCCCAUUAUUUUCCAUUCAAACAAUACAUAAUUAAUUACAAAAUAAGAGAAAUAAUAACAUGUGUAGCAGAUAUUUACUGUCAUAGAUGCAGGGAUCCUGCAUGUCUCUAACAGCAGCUUGCUCAACAAUGUUCCUCACAAGGAAUCUCUUAAUGGCCUUGUCCGUUUCAUCCAUUCGCAACCCAAAAAAAAAAAAAACAAGUGUCAAAUUUCAUACUUGGAUAAUGGCUUUUGCUUGGAUAUCUCUCCAAUCACUCCAACCCUUUCACACAAUUGAUUGAAUUUCACUUGCUUGAUUUAUAUUGCAUCGAGAUUUUGAGCCCGGCAUGGUCAAGAAGUUUUAAAAGUGUACAAAAUUGAGUGAUUGAAAAAUGAUAGAGCUGAAAAUGAGGGAAAAUUUAGAAUUAUGGGAAUUUUAUUGGGGAAGAAAAAGUAUUUUAAACUCAAUGAUGGGGUGUUUAAGAAAUAGGGUGAAUAAAAAAUAAAAAGAAUUUGAAUAUCAUCAGUCAAAUUUAAUUGUUUUUUAUGAAAAACAUUAACCGAUGAUUUCUAUUUAAAUGAAUAAAUUUAAGUCCCUCAAGUUUUUUAUUUUUAACUACUUGUAUCUUUUUCUAAAACUUAUUAUACUCAUAAGAUAUCAAUAAUUAAUGUUCAAAAUGACUAUUUCUAAAUAUUAAAAUUAUUAUUAUUAUUAUUAUUAUUAUUAUUAUUGAUAUCUCUCCAAUCACUCCAACCCUUUCACACAAUUGAUUGAAUUUCACUUGCUUGAUUUAUAUUGCAUCGAGAUUUUGAGCCCGGCAUGGUCAAGAAGUUUUAAAAGUGUACAAAAUUGAGUGAUUGAAAAAUGAUAGAGCUGAAAAUGAGGGAAAAUUUAGAAUUAUGGGAAUUUUAUUGGGGAAGAAAAAGUAUUUUAAACUCAAUGAUGGGGUGUUUAAGAAAUAGGGUGAAUAAAAAAUAAAAAGAAUUUGAAUAUCAUCAGUCAAAUUUAAUUGUUUUUUAUGAAAAACAUUAACCGAUGAUUUCUAUUUAAAUGAAUAAAUUUAAGUCCCUCAAGUUUUUUAUUUUUAACUACUUGUAUCUUUUUCUAAAACUUAUUAUACUCAUAAGAUAUCAAUAAUUAAUGUUCAAAAUGACUAUUUCUAAAUAUUAAAAUUAUUAUUAUUAUUAUUAUUAUUAUUAUUGAUAUCUCUCCAAUCACUCCAACCCUUUCACACAAUUGAUUGAAUUUCACUUGCUUGAUUUAUAUUGCAUCGAGAUUUUGAGCCCGGCAUGGUCAAGAAGUUUUAAAAGUGUACAAAAUUGAGUGAUUGAAAAAUGAUAGAGCUGAAAAUGAGGGAAAAUUUAGAAUUAUGGGAAUUUUAUUGGGGAAGAAAAAGUAUUUUAAACUCAAUGAUGGGGUGUUUAAGAAAUAGGGUGAAUAAAAAAUAAAAAGAAUUUGAAUAUCAUCAGUCAAAUUUAAUUGUUUUUUAUGAAAAACAUUAACCGAUGAUUUCUAUUUAAAUGAAUAAAUUUAAGUCCCUCAAGUUUUUUAUUUUUAACUACUUGUAUCUUUUUCUAAAACUUAUUAUACUCAUAAGAUAUCAAUAAUUAAUGUUCAAAAUGACUAUUUCUAAAUAUUAAAAUUAUUAUUAUUAUUAUUAUUUGUUGUAAUAUAGUGGUAGGGACAAAAAUCUAAGGGUGAAAAAAAAAUUGGUAUUUAAUAGAAUUUUCGUAAUGACAAAAAGUAAAUGGACCCAAGUGAUAAACCAAUAUAAUUGAUGGACAAAAGAUCAUUUUUCAUUUGUGUUUCCGACACCGUCGUUUGGUUUACGCUUCCGACCCCAUGAUAUUCAAGUCCCAGGUACUUUGUCAUCCCAUAAAAUUGUCCAUAAUUAAAAUAAGGCAUGUUUUAUAUUCUGUGGCUAAUAUUUAGAGCAAAUGAAUUUUCCAAGUCCUCCCAUAAAAAUAUCAUAUCCCAACAUAAUCUUCAACCAUUUUAACGGUUAAAAUUACAAGAGAAGUCGUAUCUAUGUUUUAUCACAAUUGUUUGGCAACCACCAAAUUGGCCGAAUAAAGCCAUUGAUGAAUCAGAAAAAGAUACCAUUGUCGAAAACUUGGCCAUUGUGGUCCCUGAUGUAUAAAACUGACCAUAGGAUUGGCAAAGGUUUGUCAAUGAGCAGAACUUACGUUCACGUCAUGCACACUUAAAUGUUAUCUAUAUACUGUAUAGACAUUGCUCUGAACAAAACUCUUCAUUCAGAGUCCCCGAGUCGGCUGCAAAGGAAUGGUCAUGAAUAAUCUUUCAACAGAAUCGAUUGCUGCUGUAGCAAUUUCAGCCUUAGUGAUAUUCCUCUCAAUUUUCCUCUUGAUUUCAAGAAAUGGGCAGAAAAGGAUACUCAAGAAUAAGCAAGCUAAACAAGCACCGGUAGCAGGGGGAGCAUGGCCUUUGAUAGGCCACCUACAUCUCUUACGAGGGCCAGAGCCAGCUCACAGAGUUUUGGGCAACCUGGCUGACAAAUAUGGAACAAUAUUCACUAUGAAGUUGGGGGUGAAACAAGCUUUAGUGGUGAGCAACUGGGAAAUUGCUAAGGAGUGUUUUACCACAAAUGACAAAGCUUUUGCAGGUCGCCCCAAAACAAUGGCCGUAGAGCUUAUGGGGUACAACUUUUUGGUCAUAGGCUUCGCGCCAUAUGGCAACUACUGGCGUCAGUCACGUAAGAUAGUGACAAUUGAGCUUCUGUCAAAUCGUCGCCUUGAGAAGCUCAAACACGUACGUGAAUCGGAAGUGAAGGCUUCAAUCCAGAGGUUAUACAAGAAUUGCAUAAGUAGCAGCAGUUCACGUAAAGUAGUUUCGGUGGAGAUGAUCCAUUGGCUCGAGGGCACAGCACUUGACAUUAUUUUGAGAAUAAUUGCCGGAAAACGUCACACUUCACAAUCAGAAGAGGCUAAUGAUUGGCAACAGCAAAUAACAAAGAUCGCUGCCUUGUUUGGUCAGUUCGUGGUGUCCGAUGCGUUGCCAUUUCUGAGACGGUUAGAUAUCGGUGGAUAUGAGAGAUUAAUGAGCAAGACAGCUAAAUAUUUUGACAUCAUUUUGCAAGAAUGGGUGGAUGAGCACAAGAUGAAAAGAGUUUCUGGUGAAAUCAAGGGCGACGAGGAUUUCAUAUAUGUGUUGUUGUCCUUGCUCGAUGAUAAUGCAGAGCAGCUUCCUGAUCGCGAUGCUGACACUGUCAUUAAAGCAAUCUGCUUGGUAUAAUAUAACCUCAUGAAAAGCUUGUGGUGUGUUUGUGUUUGCAUUGUUAUAGGAAUGUCACAGAUUUCUUACUGCUUUUAAUUUGCAGACUCUAAUCGUAGCGGCUACAGACACCACAGCAGUUACAUUGACAUGGGCUAUUGCUUUGCUUCUGAACAAUCCCGAUGUUCUGAAGAAGGCACAAGACGAAUUAGACAUUCAGGUUGGCACUGAAAGGCAAGUGAAUGAAUCAGACAUGAGGAAUUUGGUUUACUUGCAGGCCAUUAUCAAGGAAACAAUGCGUUUAUACCCUGCUGGACCACUUUUACUACCUCACGAGUCUAUAGAAGAAUGCAUCGUCAAUGGUUACCUCGUCCCUGCAGGCACCCAACUGUUUGUUAACGCCUGGAAGAUUCAACGCGAUCCAUGUGUUUGGGAGGAGCCAUGUCAAUUUCAGCCAGAAAGAUUUCUUACUAGGCAUAAGGAUAUUGAUGUUGGGGGACAAGAUUUUGAAUUGAUACCAUUUGGGAGUGGAAGAAGAAUGUGUCCUGCAGUGUCAUUUGGCCUCCAAGUUAUGCAACUAAUGCUUGCUUCAUUAGUGCAUGGGUUUGAUUUUACAACCCCAUCAGAUGAACCGGUUGACAUGGGAGAGGCAAUGGGCCUAACCAUUGCUAAGGCUACUCCGCUUGAAGUGCUUGUUAGUCCGCGCCUUUCUGCUUCUUUAUAUGGUUAAAAUUAGCUUGUGUACUUGUUAAUGGAAAUAAUUAAGUUGUACUUUUCAACAACUAAGGUGCGUUUAUAUCAUUGGGUGUCAUCACUGUGCGUUUAGCACACUGCAUAUGUUAAAGGUGAGUUUGGCAUAUUAUACUAUCUUGUAUUAUUGAACGUUUAGUAAGUUGCUUUUGACUGUAUUAUAUUAACAUUAUAUAUAUUGUGUUAAUAGUGUAUAAUAUUUGGUAUUAUUUUGUACUAUAUUAAUUUUUAUGUAUCCUAUAUUUUGUGUUGCAUUGCAUUGCAUUAUAUUAAUUCUUUUGGUAAAAAUUUUAAAUUAUAAGUUGGGAAAAAAAUUAAUUAGUACUUAGAAAAAUGAUAAAAUAGAUGUUCUGAAUUUUAUAAUUUUUUACAUAAAUUAUUUUUAGUAUAAAUGUAAAAAAUAUCAUAAUUCUUUUGAACGUAUGUAAAAUUAAGAAAUUCUACAAUUUUUGGUGUGUGUGUGUGUAUGAGCAGUUCUCAAAUAUUUAUCUUGUGAAAUAAAGAUCCAAGAAAAUAAUUCAAUCAAAUAACCUUUAAAAAUUAUCAUAACAUAAAUAAAUAGAUAAAGCCAUCUCAUAAUAAAGAUCACAACAAAUUUUUUUUACAAAUACCACAACAUACUAGAACCCUAAUCACUUAUGGGAAUGAGGUGAAAUGGGAAUGGGGAAUGAGAAUCAUACUAUAUUGUUUAUUUGAGACAAGAAUCGGAAUCACAAUGGGUUGAAAUCUCAUUGAUAUGUUUAUAUUUUCUCUUGGAAUCAGAAUCAUAAUAAGUUAAAUUAUUUCAAGUAACUAAAGUACCCUUAGUUAAUUAUAAUAAUAACUAUUUAUUAUUAUGAUGAUGAUGAUGAUGAUGAUAAUGAUGUUGAUUAUUAUUAUUAAUAAUAAAAUUUCUGUUAAUAAAUUAAUUAGUUAUAUUCAUAUGUUGUUAGUAUAUUAAUUAAUUAAAAUUUAUUAUUAUUAAUAAUAAUAAAAUUAAUAACAAUAAUCAUAAUAAUAAUAAUAAAAAUAAAAUAUCAUCAUCAUCAACAAAAUAAUCCUUUUUCAAAAUAAUAAUAAUAAUCAUCAUCAAAUUAAUCCAUUUCCCAAAUAAUCAUCGUCAAAAAAAAAUAAUCCAUUUCCCAAAAAAAAUUAUAGCAAUAAUCAAAAUCGAAAUUGUCAUCGUCAUCAACAACAACGGCAACAACAAUCAUCGUCAUUAGCAGCAGCAGCAUCAUCAUAUCAGAACUACCACCAUCAGAGGCGAAAUCUAAGAUAAAAUGAGAUGGGGGCGAAAUUAAGACAACGACGAAAUUGACACGGCCCAACGGAUAUGAAAGGGGUGGGCGUUUGGAUCGGGUUGACCCGAUCCAAACCGAACUCAAAAUUUAUUUCGAUUUUGGUUCGGUUCGGGUUGAAACUUACAACUCAUUUGGGUUAAAAAUCUAAACCCGAUUGGGUCAAAAAAAUUUAAAAUCAUAAACAUAAACAUAAACCCAACCCUAACCUAACAACUCCCAAACACACACUUCUCACUUUCUGAUCCGCCACUUGACUUUUCCACUUCUUCUUCUUCAUCUUCUUUUCUCUUUCUUCUUCUUCUUUUCCUUUUUUUCCUCCACUGACAAAUGUCAUCUUCUUCUUUUCUUUUUCUUCUCUUUUUCUUCUUCUUAUUUCCGUACACACUGCCAGACAUCUUCUUCUUUUUCUUCUUCUUUCCUUCAGCUAUUGCCAAUCAUCAUCAUCAUCAUCUUCUUCUUCUUCUUAUUAUCUUCCUCCAUUGCCAAAUAAUUCUUCUGCAUUUUUUGAUCUCCAUUAAUUAAUUGUUUAAUAAUUUAUUUUUAAUUGUUAGUUAAUUUCUUAGUUUUCUUUUGUUAAUUGUUGUUUUUUUGUUAAAUGUUAAAUUUAGAUUUCUAUACAUUAAUCAGUUAAUUUUUAAAUAAGAUUAUAGGAAAUUUGUGUGAUGUUUAGUUAAUUUUUUUCAUUUUUUGGAUGAGAUAAAAUUAUGGUUACAUAAUAUAAACGAACUCGAAUUUAUAACCCAAACCAAAUCAAAUCGAAUUAAAUUUGGUUUAAUUUGGUUCGGGUUUGUAGUUUGAACCCGAUUGGGUUGAAUCUUCCAAACCGAAUGGGUUGAAACCCAAACCGAAACCCGAACAACCCGAACCGAAAUCUAAUUUGCCCACCCUAUAUAUGAAACUAGCAACUAGUAGCUGUCCACAACCGACGAACCAUGAUGGCAAAGAUGGUGAUGGCCAUGAUGGCAAUCGAAGCACUCCAAUGGCAUUUGAUUGGGAGGCAUGGGCAAGAGAGUUUAAGUUUAGGGAUUUUUUUAUUUUUUAUCUAAAGUGAGGGUAUUUUUGGAAUAAAAAAAAUUAAUGCGGGCAAAAUGGAAAAUGUUGGGAAUGAGAAUCAGAUUCCCAUACUGAUUCUCAAAUUGCUGUGGGGUCCUCCAAAAUGAAUCUCAUUUCGGAUUCUUUCCUAGUCCAUUUUUUUCUCUCUUAAUCUCUCUCAGUAUUUCAAUUCUAGUUUUAAAAAAAUUGACUUAAUGAUAAACAAAGUGAAACAAGUCUGCCUAAAUUAUUAACAUUAAAAUUCAAAAAUUCAAGAGUCAAUCUUGACUACUCAUUUUCUUAGGAGAGACUAGUAGAGAAAAAAGAUUUGAAGAGGGUUCACAUUCGAAGAUAUAAAUGAUACAUUAUACAAGAUCUUUAAACAUUAUCUGAUAUGUCAUUACGUUUAUAAAGAACAAGUCAUUCAAUUUUCACUCUCGAGUAAAGAUUAUACAAAAUGUUGUCUGCCAUAAAACUAUAAACGACAUGUCAUAUAUAUACCGUAUGUGAUGAAUUUGUUAACAAAGCCAAAUCUCUCUAAUCAUACGUCUAUAUUAAGAAACACAAAUAAGAGAUUCCAAGAACUUGUUAACACCCUUUUGGAAUAAUUGAUUUUGGAUUUUCAUACUUGGAUAAUGGCUUUUGCUUGGAUACCUCUCCAAUCACUCCAACCGUUUCACACAAUUGAUUGAAUUUCACUUGCUUGAUUUAUAUUACAUCGAGAUUUUGAGCCCGGCAUGGUUAAGGAGUUUUAAAAGUGUAAAAAAUUGGGUGAUUGAAAAAUGAUAGAGCUGAAAAUGAGGGAAAAUUUAGAAUUAUGGAAAUUUUAUUGGGGAAGAAAAAGUAUUUUAAACUCAAUGAUGGGGUGAUUAAGAAAUAGACUGAAUAAAAAAUAAAAAGAAUUUGAAUAUCAUCAGUCAAAUUUAAUUGUUUAUUAUUAAAAACAUUAACCGAUGAUUUCUAUUUAAAGAAAUAAUAUUUAAGUCCCUCAAGUUUUUUUAUUUUUAACUAUUUGUAUCUUUUUCUAAACCUUAUUAUACUCAUAAGAUAUCAAUAAUUAAUGUUCAAAAUGACUUUUUCUAAAUAUUAAAACAAUUAUUAUUAUUAUUAUUAUUAUUAUUAUUAUUAUUAUUAUUAUUAUUUGUUGUAAUAUAGUGGUGGGGACAAAAAUCUAAGGGUGAAAAAAAAUUGGUAUUUAAUAGAAUUUUCGCAAUGACAAAAAGCUGAGUGGACCCAAGUGAUAAAACUGUUUAAUUGAUGGACAAAAGAUCAAUUUUUAUUUGUGUUGCUGACCCCGUAGUUUGGUUUACGCUUCCUGACCCAUGAUAUUCAAGACCAUGCACUUUUGUCAUCCCAGACAAUUUUUCAUAAUUAAGGGUGUGUUUGGAAGUAACGUAAUGUAGCUUUUAAGCUGUAUUUGUUAUGGAGUAAAAGUUAGAGUUGUGAAAUAAAAGUUAGAAAAAAAAUUUUACUAAGCUGCCAAAUCCCAACUAUAAAUUUUACCAAACACUUUAAUAGCUGGACUUUGAGAACCCAGUUAUCUCACCACACUCCCAAACAGGCUAUAAAAUAAAACAAGUGCCGUGUUCUGUGGCUGAUAUUUAUAGCACAUGGAGUUUACCAAGUCCUCCCAUAAAAAUAUCAUAUCCCAACAUAAUCUUCAACCAUUUUAACGGUUAAAAUUACAAGAGAAGUCGUAUUUAUGUUUUAUCACAAUUGUUUGGCAACCACCAAAUUGGCCGUAUAAAGUCAUUGAUGAAUCAGAAAAAGAUACCAUUGUCGAAAACUUGGCCAUUGUGGUCCCUGAUGUAUAAAACUGACCAUAGGAUUAGCAAAGGUUUGUCAAUGAGCAGAACUUGCGUUCACGUCAAGCACACUUGAAUGUUAUCUAUAUACUGUAUAGACAUUGCUCUGAACUAAACUCUUCAUUCAGAGUCCCCGAGUCGGCUGCAAAGGAAUGGCCAUGAAUAAUCUUUCAACAGAAUCAACUGCUGCUGUAGCAAUUUCAGCCUUAGGGAUAUUCCUCUCAAUUUUCCUCUUGAUUUCAAGAAAUGGGCAAAAAAGGACACUCAAGAAUAAGCAACAAGCACCGGUAGCAGGGGGAGCAUGGCCUUUGAUAGGCCACCUACAUCUCUUACGAGGGCCAGAGCCAGCUCACAGAGUUUUGGGGCGACCUGCAAAAGCUUUGUCAUUUGUGGUAAAACACUCCUUAGCAAUUUCCCAGUUGCUCACCACUAAAGCCUGCUCUACUCAUAAAAGCUCUACUUAAAUAGCUCUAUUUGGAAAGCUAUAUCAAAUAGAGCCUUAGUGAACAUUAACCUACUUCGAAGGACAUUGAGCAUGGGAUAAUUGCAUAAGCCUGAACUUUUAUUUUUUCAUUUCUCAAANNNNNNNNNNNNNNNNNNNNNNNNNNNNNNNNNNNNNNNNNNNNNNNNNNNNNNNNNNNNNNNNNNNNNNNNNNNNNNNNNNNNNNNNNNNNNNNNNNNNNNNNNNNNNNNNNNNNNNNNNNNNNNNNNNNNCCUGGCUGACAAAUAUGGAACAAUAUUCACUAUGAAGUGGGGGGUGAAACAAGCUUUAGUGGUGAGCAACUGGGAAAUUGCAAAGGAGUGUUUUACCACAAAUGACAAAGCUUUUGCAGGUCGCCCCAAAACAAUGGCCGUAGAGCUUAUGGGGUACAACUUUUUGGUCAUAGGCUUCGCGCCAUAUGGCAACUACUGGCGUCAGUCACGUAAGAUAGUGACAAUUGAGCUUCUGUCAAAUCGUCGCCUUGAGAAGCUCAAACACGUACGUGAAUCGGAAGUGAAGGCUUCAAUCCAGAGGUUAUACAAGAAUUGCAUAAGUAGCAGCAGUUCACGUAAAGUAGUUUCGGUGGAGAUGAUCCAUUGGCUCGAGGGCACAGCACUUGACAUUAUUUUGAGAAUAAUUGCCGGAAAACGUCACACUUCACAAUCAGAAGAGGCUAAUGAUUGGCAACAGCAAAUAACAAAGAUCGCUGCCUUGUUUGGUCAGUUCGUGGUGUCCGAUGCGUUGCCAUUUCUGAGACGGUUAGAUAUCGGUGGAUAUGAGAGAUUAAUGAGCAAGACAGCUAAAUAUUUUGACAUCAUUUUGCAAGAAUGGGUGGAUGAGCACAAGAUGAAAAGAGUUUCUGGUGAAAUCAAGGGCGACGAGGAUUUCAUAUAUGUGUUGUUGUCCUUGCUCGAUGAUAAUGCAGAGCAGCUUCCUGAUCGCGAUGCUGACACUGUCAUUAAAGCAAUCUGCUUGGUAUAAUAUAACCUCAUGAAAAGCUUGUGGUGUGUUUGUGUUUGCAUUGUUAUAGGAAUGUCACAGAUUUCUUACUGCUUUUAAUUUGCAGACUCUAAUCGUAGCGGCUACAGACACCACAGCAGUUACAUUGACAUGGGCUAUUGCUUUGCUUCUGAACAAUCCCGAUGUUCUGAAGAAGGCACAAGACGAAUUAGACAUUCAGGUUGGCACUGAAAGGCAAGUGAAUGAAUCAGACGAGGAAUUUGGUUUACUUGCAGGCCAUUAUCAAGGAAACAAUGCGUUUAUACCCUGCUGGACCACUUUUACUACCUCACGAGUCUAUAGAAGAAUGCAUCGUAAAGGUGAGUUUGACAUGUUAUAUUACAUUGUAUUAUUUAACGUUUGGUAAGUUGCUUUUGACUGUAUUAUGUUAACAUUGUAUUAUAUUAAUGCUAUAUAAUAUUUGGUACUAUAUUGUACUAUAUUAAUUUUUAUUUAUCUUAUCUUUGGUGUUGCAUUGCAUUGUAUUAUAUUAAUUCUUUUGGUUAAAAAUUUAAAUUACAAGUUGGGACAAAAUAUUAAUUAGUACUUAGAAAAAUGAUAAAAUAGAUGUUGUAAAUUUUAUAAUUUUUUACAUCAAUUAUAUUUUAGUAUAAAUGUAAAAAAUAUCACAAUUCUUUUGAACAUAUGUAAACUUAAGAAAUUCUAAAAUUUUUGGUGUGUGUAUAUAUAUAUAUACACACAAAGGAGCAGUUCUAAAAUAUAUAUAUUAUGAAAUAAAGAUUAAAAAAAAUAAUUCAAUCAAAUAAUCUCUAAAAAUCAUCAUAACAUAAAUAAAUAGAUAAAAGCCAUCUUAUGAUAAAGAUGACAACAAAAGCAUUUACAUAUACCACAACAAACUAGAACUCUAAUCACUAAAUAAAAUGGAUUGAACAAUGCACCAAACUCAGUUCAAUUUAUAGCUGGAGGACGUUCUAAUUCUGUUAGUUCUUCCAGGGCUCUGGCUCACUGGUGGUUCCAUGAGCCCCUAUGGACGGGCCCUCUUCAUGAUGUUACACACAUCACAGAAAUUAAAUUCAGCUGAGAAGUGGGAUGGCUUGGUAAUGGCACAUGAACUGAUCUGGGAAAAAUUUUAUCACGGAUGACAGAUGAAAGUGACCCCAGAUUGCCAUUUGGAUACAUCAAACUGGAUGAGGUCCUUGACUUACGUUAAUUUCUUCGGUUUGUUAAAUGACAAUCCUAUUCUUCUGUCAUUUAUUCUGCAUUGUUGUGUUGAAAUUCCAUGUAGUUGGUGAUUUUUCUAACUUCAUUAGAUGGCAAGCCGUGCAAAGAUGAAUUCUCCUCCCCUAGAGACCAUGAUGAGCACCAUGCAAAAGGUAUUCUUGCAGUAGACUCUUUAAAGUGUUUAUUACAUACCAAGCCUUUGUGUCAUAUGAAGGAUUGAUAUCUUGGGAAAGCUGUAAAAUAAGGCAGCUAUUCUUCCCUCAACUGGGCAUAAAGAAACGAUGUCCACAGCUCCAUUCUGCAUUUCCUUGUAUGACCAUGCCUAGUGACUAUUGCAGGAGGGAUACGUAGCAAGCAGGUCACACAUUGCUUCCAAUUCAAUCAAGACAAAUUGUCCCAUGGUAGUAUGCAUCAGGAUCGCCAAGGAACUGCAGGGCUGCCAGAAAACAUAGGCUAAGUGAUGUUGGUAUGGACAAGACUGGCAGCAGAAGCCAUGCCUAGCGAUGUAACUGCGUCUCCGUAGGCAGGAGUUGAUUGCCCAUAUGCACCCAAGGGAUUUUUUUUUUGGCCAACUGCAAGAUUUUGGACGAACGGAACGAAGGCCGCAAUGAAUUAUGAAAAGGGUGGAUUAAAAUGAUUUUAAUUAUAUUGACUUGGAAGAAACCGAUUCCUGAGUUUCAGUCAAAAAUUAUGAAUUGAUUUUAAUAUAGUUUCAUACAAGGUAUACUUUGAUGCAAUUAUCACCGAUUAACUAAUAUAACAUAAUUAAAUUUAAAUUCAUUUUCUUUAAAUAAAUCAAUACACAUCAUAGCUGAAAAUAUAGACUUAGGAUUCUUUCCUAGUCUUUUUUUUUCCCUCUCGUAGUCUCUCUCAAUAUUCCAAUUCUAGUUUAAAAAAAAAUUAACUUAAUUGUAAACAAAGUGAAACCUAAAUUAUUAACAUUAAAAUUCAAAAAAUUCAAGAGUCAAGACUACUCAUUUUAUUAAGAGAAGCUAGUAGAGAAAAAAGAUUCGAAGAUGAGAAGUGGGAUGGGUUGGUAAUGGCACAUGAACUGAUUUGGGAAAAAAUUUAUCACGGAUGACAGAUGAAAGUGACCCCAGAUUGCAAUUUGGAUACAUCAAACUGGAUGAGGUCCUUGACUUUCGUUAAUUUCUUCGGUUUGUUAAAUGACAAAACUAUUCUUCUGUCAUUUAUUCUGCAUUGUUGUGUUGAAAUUCCAUGUAGUUGGUGAUUUUUCUAACUUCAUUAGCUGGCAAGCCGUGCAAAGAUUAAUUCUCCUUCCUUAGAGACCAUGAUGAGCACCAUGCAAAAGGUAUUCUUGCAGUAGACUCUUUAAAGUGUUUGUUGAGUAAUAAAAAGUAUCAGUCAGACAUCUCCCCAUUUCUUAGCCGAUGGCGAGUUUACCUAACUGAGGAUAACGAGCAGAUUCCUAGUCGUGUAUUUUUUAUGGAGCACGAGCCGACCAGAAGUGAAUACCGACCAAGUACUCGUCACUAAAAGAAAGAGGACACAAUCUCACGAACACACGACAGUUUCGCCAUGCCCCAAACCACAGGGGAGAACGCGUUUACCCACGUUUGCCCACAUUCGGUGGUUGAAGACCCAUGAAGGUCCAUGAUCACCUGAAUAUGACAGGCAUGAAAAAUACUCAGAGAACGUGGGAUGAUUGCCUACAAGAAACUGAGAAAUCAAUGAAAAAAAAGGGACAAAAAUUGAGAGAAAAUGGGAAACUCUACCAAAUUAAUACCAAAAUUUAUUUUGUACAAAUCCUUAACAUAUUUGGUGUUAAGAAUAUUGCAGUUAAUCUGUGCAACUUGAAUCGUACUGUUUUCCCGCAAACACCUUGUACUGACUUAAGCAUCAGAGGGUUUACGCCGUAAAAACCACCGGCGUCUCUGAUUUGUUUUUGUGAAUGCAGGUGAGGAAGGAAGAAGAUAAGUCAUUUAAGUUUUAGGAGCUUGGAAAAGUGCAGAAGCUUGUGAAGCAUAGCCUUCUCAUCAUCCUCGACACAAACGUUGGUGAUUCGAUCUGGUCGGGCAAAGGGCGACCUAAUUUCAGCAUCAACAAUGUUUAUUACAUACCAAGCCUUUGUGUCAUAUGAAGGAUUUAUAUCUUGGGAAAGCUGUAAAAUAAGGCAAUUAUUCUUCCCUCAACUGGGCAUAAAGAAACAAUGUCCACAGCUCCAUUCUGCAUUUCCUUGUAUGACCAUGCCUAGUGACUAUUGCAGGAGGGAUACGUAGCAAGUAGGUGACACAUUGCUUCCAAUGCAAUCAAGACAAAUUGUCCCAUGGUAGUAUGCAUCAGGAUCACCAAGGAACUUCAGGGCUACCAGAAAACAUAGGCUAAGUAAUGUCGGUAUGGACAAGACUGGCAACAGAAGCCAUGCCUAGCUUUUCCAGAAGUACUCAGAAUUUAGCGAUGUAAUUGCGUCUCCGCACACAGGAGUUAUUGCCCAUAUGCACCCAAGGGUUUUUUUUUUUUUUGGCCAACUGCAAGAUUUUGAACGGAACGAAGGACGCAAUGAAUUAUGAAAAGGGUGGAUUAAAAUGAUUUUAAUUAAAGUGCUGCUAUUUAGACUUAAGGAAGACAAAAAGAAGACAGAAAUGUUUCGUGUCCUCUCUCUCUUUAGAAAAUGAGCACGCGUGAAUUCCAAAUUGGGCCCACAAUCAGUUUAAAAAAUUAAAUUGAGCAUGGCGCGUGAGCCAAUAAAGCAUUUAACAAUCAAUUUUUUUUGUCCUCUCUCUCUCUGCAUCUCUCACCUCUCUUUUAGUUGUGCAUUUAACGUGAGCCAUAUUUUGCAUUUAACAAAGACAAAUCAGUUUCAUGUCCUCUCUAUCUCUCUGCAUCUCGCUUAUUAAUUUCUGUAUUUCCAACUGCUCAAUUUCAGCAACCAAAAAAAAAAAAAGGGCCAUAAGGAAGAAGUUAGAUCUGGAUCUGCAAACAAAGGCAAAUAUAGGGGUUUAUUAACUAUAUAUUGAUAUGCAAUCAUAUUUGGUUUAGAAUAUGUGGAUAGUUGAGGACAUUUGUCGCCUCAAUUCCCUUUUUCACCCCUUUCUUCAAUUUGAGAAGAUUCAAGGAAACCAAGUUCAUCAAAAAGAAAAUAUAUGACAUGUGAUUUUGCGUUGAAUAGUACAUGGAAUUUUUAAUGCUAUUUUUGGCAGGGAGCAAAGGGGUUGGCUAUACUUUUGUAUUGUUUUAAGCAUAAAUUAAUUACCCAUAAUCUGUACUUUAUGUAUUGCUAAUUUAGUAUUCAAGCGAGUCAUAUGCACAUUUAACUUCACUAAGCAUGAAGUUACAAAUCAAAAGAAAAAAAAAAAAAGCGGUUGGGCGAGAACAAGAAGCGGUCGUCAUCCGGUAACGAAGGGAACGAAGGGAGUGAUGGGGAUGAAGUUAACAAAAGGAACGAAAGGAGGGGACGAAGUUAACGAAGUGCUACCGUUUCCAAACGAAGAAAAUGAGUGGCUGGGGAGGGAGGAGAUAUUGCUAGAUAACGUAUAAGGAAAAAGAUAAAACUAAAAGGAAAAAAUUUGAGCUGCUUUUUCAUUUUUUUAUUCUUUAUUUUAUUAUUUAUUGUGGUCCCAUGCAUUUAUAAAUUGGCCUAAGGGAACGCAUGAAACAACAAGCUCACGCCACCGUUUCUAUCGUCCUUUAGUCUUUCUUUAGUUUGUUUAUCAUUUUUCUUUUAAUUAUAUUGACUUGGAAGAAACCGAUUCCUGAGUUUCAGUAAAAAAUUAUGAUUUGAUUUUAAUAUAGUUUCAUACAAGGUAUACUUUGACGCAAUUAUCACCGAUUAACUAAUAUAACAUAAUUAAAUUUAAAUUAAUUUUGUUUAAAUAAAUCAAUACAUAUCAAUUCAUCAUAGCUGAAAAUAUAGACUUAGAAUUCUUUCCUAGUCUUUUUUUUUUCCUCUCAUAGUCUCUCUCAAUAUUCCAAUUCUAGUUUUAAAAAAAAUUGACUUAAUUGUAAACAAAGUGAAACAAGUCUGCCUUAAUUAUUAACAUUAAAAUUUAAAAAAAUUUCAAGAGUCAAGACUACUCAUUUUAUUAAGAGAGGCUAGUAUAGAAAAAAGAUUUGAAGAGGAUUCACGUUCAAAAAUAUAAAUGAUACAUCAUACAAGAUCCUUAAACAUUAUCUAAUAUGUCUUACAUCUAUAAAUGACAAGUCAUUUAAUUUUCACUGUGGAGUAAAGAUUGUACAAAAUGUUAUCUCCCAUAAAACUAUAAACGACAAUUUUACUCCAAAUAAAAAUCAACAACAUUUUACCUAUUUCGUAUCUUAAUUUCUUUUAAAUUCCAACUGAUGUAACAUUUAUUUAUUAAAUGGUAAAUUAAAAAUUUCACGAGUUAUGAAGUUCAUCAUAAUGAGUUAUAUAAUAUUAAGAGUCAAGUUGAAACUCAAAUAUUAAAACUCCUAAAUUAGCUAAGUAACAUAAAAUUAAGAAACUCAUUAAAUAUGUAUAAAUGUUUAUAAUUAACUUAUUUUGCAGCUAAUUUUUCCAACUUGAAAACAUGUUAAUUCCAAAGGUCCCUUAAGAUGAAGAUUCCGAAUUUCACCUUAACCUUGGUGUGACAGUAAGCUUGACUUGAUAACCUUAAAAGGGUAAAAAACUAGAGCCUAUCAAACUUAAUGGACCAAGUGUGAAAUACGUUCUCAAUAUACUGAAAUGAAUUCCUACCACUACAAAAUUUUAUAAUUCUCAUUGAAAUUAAAAAUCCUAAAAAUUUAACAAUAAUUCUUAAGACUUUGAAAACGAAUGAGCGGGAAACAUUGAAACUUCCUACACAAAAUUCAAGUUCUUCUGGGUAUCUAAAAGUAUAAUAACAGAUUAAGAAUGGGAAUAGACUUCAUGGGCGAACUGGAACUCCAAUGGCUGGGCGUGGCGCUUGACCAGGCUGACCAGGCUUUGGCAAAUCAUCCUGAAAAGAAAAAGGGAAAAAAAAGAAAAAAAAAUAUAAGAGCCAAUGAAGAAAAUUUUCAAGUACGCGAGCACAAACGAAGACCAUAUAAAACUGACAAGCUUAACCAUUUUUCAAAUGCUACAGAUAUCACACAGCAAUUAUCCCAAGACCAAAAACACAUCCUCAAUUUGGGCUUUUAGUUCUCGUAAAACAAAGGAAAAAGCUACCACACAGAGGCACAACACUGUCUCCUUUUUUUCCUCUUUCCUCCGCACCACCCCUCCCCCCUUUCUCUUAGGUUAACUCAGAAUUAUGCAUUUUAAACUGGCUGAAUCAGGAUAUUACUACUAGCAAGGAAAUCCUUAUGAUAAAGCACACUAGGUAAAAGGUCUAUCUGCCUACGUCUAUAACCCGUAAAUCAUUCUAAAAAUCAAUAUGAACAGAGACCAUUAGCCAAAAUCCUGAUUAAAAAAUCUCAAUAGAAACAUGAAAAAGAUACCCUGCGUCUCAUAAAACGCUUUGGUGGUUCACGGUUCCUGCGGUCAGUGCGUGAGCGAACCCUCACCACAUGCGAGUGAAUUGCACAGGAGACACAGUACGGCAUCUUUGCAUACAACUUAAGCAGAACAUAGUCUGCAUCGAAUUCAAAAGAUUCCCAUUAUUUCCCAUUCAAACAAUACAUAAUUAAUUACAAAAUAAGAGAAAUAAUAACAUGUGUAGUAGAUAUUUACUAUCAUAGAUGCAGGCAUCCUGCACGUCUCUUGCUCAACAAUGUUCCUCUCAAGGAACCUCUUGAUGGCCUUGUCCUUUUCAUCCAUUCACAACCCAAAAUUUAAAAAAAAAAAAUUGUGUCAAAUUACAUCAAACAAAAGGCAUAUUAAUUAAUUUUUAAUUGCAAACUUAACAUCAUGAAUUUUUAGUAACUUGGAAGUGAGAAGACGGAAUAAUUAAAUAAUAUUUGUGUUAUAAGAUAUGAUAAAAAUCAAAUGUCUAAUUGUAACUGGUAUUCCUAACCAUCGUGGUAGCGGGGAUGCGCAGAUACCAAUAAACAACUCUAGUCUAGUCUAACUGUAUGAUUUGACCAAUACAUCCGCAAAAUUUAUCAUGACACGAUUUUACAAAAAUAUGGAAGAACUGAAAAAAUGAAUCUUCUUUCCCGUAAUGCCACACAAUUGCCGUUUGUAAUUGUAUACUUUGGGGCAGCAUUUGCCAUCCGACGCUUGAAGGUCUGCCACAGAAAAAAAAUAAAUAUAAUAAAUCAAAUUUAUAUUAAAUAAAAACAAUUCUUCUUUUUUCAAUAAUAAUAUUUUUGGAAAUCAGAAAGAUAAAACAUUUUCGCAAACCAUUCUGUUUUCACACAAAGCUAAUCAGAAAGAUAAAAUAUUUUUGACAACCACGCCUAAUCCAAUCAUCAUUUCUUCUGAAGUUGACAUUGCUGCAUGAGUAAAAAAGAAUAUUGAAAUUGAAUUAUUAAUUUGGAAGAAUAUCAUAACGCAAUUAAACAAAAACUGAAUAUUUUAUCUUUCCUACUCUCUCAAUAAUUUUGACUGCAUACUUUUUCUGAAAAAAAAAAAAAAAAAAAAAACUCAUAUCUAGAUUCAGUCACAAAGCCAAAUCUCUCCAAUCAUACGUCUAUAUUAAGAAACACAAAUAAGAGAUUCCAAGAACUUUCGUAAUGACAAAAAGUAAAUGGACCCAAGUGAUAAAACAAUAUAAUUGAUGGACAAAAGAUAAUUUUUUAUUUGUGUUGCUGACACCGUAGUUUGGUUUACGCUUCCCGACCCAUAAUAUUCAAGUCCAGGUACUUUUGUCAUCCCAUAUAAUUGUCCAUAUUAAAAUAAGGCAUGUUUUAUAUUCUGUGGCAAAUUUUUAAAGCAAAUGAAGUUUACCAAGUCAAAAAGGUGGCUUUAAUCUUCAACCAAUACAACUGCAAAUUUCGAGUUUUCAAACUUUGAAAUUUUGAGCUUUGAAUUUAUUUUUUUCUUUUUUAAACAUCCGGUACCUACCCUUGACAUAUUUUCCUCUCAAUUUUUUUUAAUUCUUCCUCUUUUGUCUUCUUUCUUCAUUUUCCUUUGCCCGGCAUUGACAAAGCACACUUAAAUGUUAUCUAUAUACUGUAUAGACAUUGCUCUGAACUAAACUCUUCAUUCAGAGUCCCCGAGUCGGUUGCAAAAGGGAUGGCCAUGAAUAAUCUUUCAACAGAAUCGACUGCUGCUGUAGCAAUUUCAGCCUUAGUGAUAUUCCUCUCAAUUUUCCACUUGAUUUCAAGAAAUGGGCAAAAAAGGAUACGCAAGAAUAAGCAAUCUCAACAAGCACCGGUAGCAGGGGGAGCAUGGCCUUUGAUAGGCCACCUACAUCUCUUACGAGGGCCAGAGCCAGCUCACAGAGUUUUGGGCAACCUGGCUGACAAAUAUGGAACAAUAUUCACUAUGAAGUUGGGGGUGAAACAAGCUUUAGUGGUGAGCAACUGGGAAAUUGCUAAGGAGUGUUUUACCACAAAUGACAAAGCUUUUGCAAGUCGCCCCAAAAGAAUGGCCGUAGAGCUUAUGGGGUACAACUUUUCGGUCAUAGGCUUCGCACCAUAUGGCAAGUACUGGCGUCAGUCACGUAAGAUAGUGACAAUUGAGCUUCUGUCAAAUCGUCGCCUUGAGAAGCUCAAACACGUACGUGAAUCGGAAGUGAAGGC